GACGAUCUCCCCUGCUUUCACAACGGCUGUAUUCGUGUCGCCGUCCUGCUCCUCGUCCGCCUCGGCCUCCGGCGCAACCCCAGCGCGGACAUGGUUGUCUGGCCCAGCCCCAUUGACCUCUUCUUCAAAGUGAAUGGCAUCAUGGACAUGGGUUGGACGGGCAUCCUAUCGGGUUGCGGCGAUGGCUUUGAUGAACAAGUCUGGAUGUGAUGCUUCCUGAUAGCUGUACAUUAAGCGGUACGAUGAUUAGAACUGUGUUGUUCACUUGUUCUCGUGUUUGCUUGUCGAGUUCCCUCUCUUGUUCUUUGAUGCAUGCUUGCUGCCAUGAAGAGAAGUUGGGUUUAUGUGGCGAGCAUGUGGAUGGGAGGCAGUUGGACGACCAACGGCAAAUUCAAUUAGGCAAGGCGUACCAGGUUUAACAGAUUUUUAAAGAUAUUAAAGGGAGCUAUUGGAGCAUAAUUUUUUUAUAAAGAGUAAAAGCUUUUAAGUGUGUCCCAAUAUUUAUUUAAUAGGAGAUAUAUUUUUAGGAGCUAUCGGAGAUGUUUUUAGGGUCUGUUUGGUUGAACUGUGACUGUGAAAAAAGUUGCUGUGGGCUGUGAGCUGUGUAAAAAGCUGUUGUAGGCUGUAAGCUGUUAAAAAGCUAAAAACCGUUUGG
rnacentral:lncRNA from 7 species